UACGGAGGAUGCAAGCGUUAUCCGGAAUGAUUGGGCGUAAAGCGUCCGCAGGUGGCUGUGUAAGUCUGCUGUCAAAGAGCAAAGCUCAACUUUGUAAAGGCAGUGGAAACUACACGGCUAGAGUGCGUUCGGGGCAGAGGGAAUUCCUGGUGUAGCGGUGAAAUGCGUAGAGAUCAGGAAGAACACCAAUGGCGAAAGCAGCUUUCUGGGACGGUACUGACGCUGAGACGCGAAAGCGUGGGGAGCGAACAGG
rnacentral:rRNA from 1 species